rnacentral:rRNA from 1 species
AGCGAACGCUGGCGGCAGGCCUAACACAUGCAAGUCGAACGGACCUUUCGGGGUUAGUGGCGGACGGGUGCGUAACACGUGGGAACGUGCCUUUAGGUUCGGAAUAGCUCCUGGAAACGGGUGGUAAUGCCGAAUGUGCCCUUCGGGGGAAAGAUUUAUCGCCUUUAGAGCGGCCCGCGUCUGAUUAGCUAGUUGGUUGAGGUAACGGCUCACCAAGGCGACGAUCAGUAGCUGGUCUGAGAGGAUGGCCAGCCACAUUGGGACUGAGACACGGCCCAAACUCCUACGGGAGGCAGCAGUGGGGAAUCUUGCGCAAUGGGCGAAAGCCUGACGCAGCCAUGCCGCGUGAAUGAUGAAGGUCUUAGGAUUGUAAAAUUCUUUCACCGGGGACGAUAAUGACGGUACCCGGAGAAGAAGCCCCGGCUAACUUCGUG